AGCUGGCCGGCGGGACCCUGCUUCCGCGGGCCUGGGGGUGACCUGCUGGGGACGAGAGUGGACACCGGAUGCUCAGUCACACUGCUCUGAUCCGCAGCGUGCCCAAGGCAGCCCAAGCACGCCCCUGCGCAGGCUGGUGCGGUCGGCCACCGCGGCUACCUGGCGCCGUCCCUCCUCUGCCAACCCUGUGCUCCCCAGCCCCGUGACCUGGGGUCGGUGCCCCAGCCUUCACCACAACUCACCUGCACAGGGUGAGCCGAGGGUGUUGGGAGUAGAAGGUUGUAGCAGAGACAGGUGGCUUGUAGCACGCCGCACGUGGCCCCCUAAUCCCCCAGGACCCUAUGCUUGGGCGGAUCCACAUCUGCUUCAUCAUUUAUCUUCGAACCGGCGUUUUCUGAGUGACCUCGGGGAGCAGUGCCCGGGGGCUGGGGGGACGCAGGCGGCAGGCGUGUCCACCUGGCCCCGUGUGUGUGUCACCUUCAUGAUGCCCCUGAGUGUACAGGGUGGACCAGUCCAGCAGGAGCUCGAGAGACCCAGAGCUGGCAUUGGGCCUCCCCCUGCAGCCGCCGUCACCAGGGGCCCCCGACAGGAGGCUUUGCACAGGCAAGAAUGUGCCCUCUUGUGACCGGAGACCAGAAGAGUGAAAUCCGGGGGUCAGCUUGUGCGGCUGGGGCGAUCCUGGGCGUCCCCGUGUCUGUCUGCACCCCCUCCUCUUUGGGUCGCCAGCCUGGGUGCAGGCCCACCUCAACCUGGGGUCAUUUCACCCAAAGAUCCCUAAUUACAUCCACACAGGUCAUGAUGUGAGGUUCCAGGUGGAUGUAAAUGUGGGGGCUACUUCUCCCCACGCAAGGUGAGCGUGCGAGGUGCGCGAGUGGGCGAGCGCAGAGGGCGGCCGACAGCCAGCUGUGGCCAGAGGCGUGCAGGACAUGGGGAGAGGGCAGCGGUGCUCGGAGGCACACAUGUGGCCGGGACUCCAUGGUGCCCCUUCUUCCUCAGGUGACUUCGUGCGAGCCAGCCUCAGGGACGUGGUGACGCAGCAGAGGGACACAGCGCCCGCAGCCUCCCCACCCGACCGCAGACUGGAGCAGUUAGAUCAACAUCAAGUGACCGGAUGGAAACACGGCGGCAGGACGGCAGCUCUCUGUGCGACAUCCCUCCUUGCCCUUGAGGACACCGCAGAGCCGCCUGGGGGCGCUUCUGAGCUGGUGGUGGCCUCUGUGGCCUCAGGCGGUCAGGAGGCAGCCUGGGUGACGCGGUGGCACUUGGCAGGUGGUGACGAGGUGUCCAUUAUGGGUCUAGGGCUGGGGUGACAGGUGUCCUUGGCCCCGGGGGAGGCAGGGCCUGCAGGGGACAGGUGCUGGGGCAGGGCCCCCACAGACACCUGCGUGGCCAGCCGCAGUGGUUGGGGUCACGGGAACGGGGCAGACGGCGCCGUGGGCCCCUACGCCUCCCCCGCAUGCACACACGUGCUCUUCGUGCGGAUGUCUCGCCUUCUCGUGCUAACGUCCGCCGUCCCUGACUC
rnacentral:lncRNA from 1 species